GAGUCGCAUGCCCUUCCAGCUGAGCCAGCCAGGUGCCCCCUAAUCUUUUCUUCUAAGAGCGUUUAUGAUGCCUACUAACGGAUGGUAGGAUGGAAGGGGAGAAGAGUACUAGAGAAGAAUUCCUGGGUCACGGAGUAAAAACUGGACGAGUUCUCUGAGGAGCAGGACAGCAGUGUGCUAAGAACAAGGGACUACGGGGGCACUACGGGAUCUACUUCUCAACCCCACCGUCUGAUCUCUUCUUCCUACUUCACCUUCCUCCAGCCCCUCUGGCUUCCUUGCCGUCUCCAGAUCA